GUGAACGCUGGUAACGUGGAUACCGGCAUGCAAGUCGAGGGCCCCGCAAGGGGACCGGCGAACGGCUUAGUAACACGUGGGUACAUACCCUUUUCUGGAGGACAGCUCGUCGAAAGACGGGGUAAUACUCCAUAGUCUCGCAAGAGUAAAGACGCAAGUCGGAAAAGGAAUGGCCUGCGGCCUAUCAGCUUGUUGGUGAGGUAAAGGCUUACCAAGGCUAUGACGGGUAGGGGGCGUGAGAGCGCGACCCCCAAGAAUGGCACUGCGACACGGGCCAUACUCCUACGGGAGGCUGCAGUCGAGAAUCUUCCACAAUGGACGAAAGUCUGAUGGAGCGACGUUACGUGAAGGAUGAAGCCCUUCGGGGUGUAAACUUCUUUUGACUGGGACUAAGUAAUUGAAUGUACCAGUAGAAUAAGGGGUUCCUAACUCUGUGCCAGCAGGAGCGGUAAUACAGAGACCCCAAGCGUUACCCGGAUUUAUUGGGCGUAAAGGGUGUGUAGGUGGUUUGGUAAGUUUAAAAUUAAAUCUCAUCGGCUUAACCUUUGAGCUGUUUUAAAUACUGCCAGACUCAGAGGGCGUUAGAGGCUUACGGAACCGACGGAGUAGGGGUGAAAUCCGUUGAUAUCGUCGGGAACACCAAAAGCGAAGACAGUUAGCUGGGGCGACCCUGACACUGAAACACGAAAGCGUGGGGAGCAAAAAGGAUUAGAUACCCUUGUAGUCCACGCUGUAAACGAUGGAUGCUGGCUAUUGGCAGUGUCGACCCUGCCAGUGGCGAAGCUAACGCGUUAAGCAUCCCGCCUGGGAAUUACGAACGCAAGUUUAAAACUCAAAGGAAUAGACGGGGACUCACACAAGCGGUGGACCAUGUGGCUUAAUUCGACAACAAACGAAGAACCUUAUCCAGGUCUUGAUAUACUAGCGAAGUUUUGGGGAAACCCAGGACGCCGCAAGGCGCUAGUACAGGUGCUGCAUGGCUGUCGUCAGUUCGUGUCUUGAGACGUACCGUUAAUUCGGGUAACGAACGCAACCCUUGUCCUGUGUUUUACAUGUCACAGGAGACUGCCCGGGAAAACUGGGAGGAAGGCGAGGAUGACGCCAAGUCCGCAUGGCCCUUAUGACCUGGGCUGCACACGUGGUACAAUGGCCGGUACAAUGGGCCCGAAAGCGCAAGCUGGAGGAUAAUCCCACCAAAGCCGGUCUCAGUUCGGAUUGAGGGCUGCAACUCGCCCUCGUGAAGCUGGAAUCGCUAGUAAUCGCCAAUCAGCUACGUGGCGAUGAAUACGUUCCUGAGUCUUGUACUCACCGCCCGUCAAGCCAAGCGAGCUGGGGAUAGCCGAAGCUCCACGCAAGUGGAAUCAAGCUAGAUUCAGUGAGAGGGGCU
rnacentral:rRNA from 1 species